UGGGGAAUAUUGGGCAAUGGGCGAAAGCCUGACCCAGCAACGCCGCGUGAAUGAUGAAGGCCUUCGGGUUGUAAAAUUCUUUGGACAGGGACGAAGAAAGUGACGGUACCUGUAGAACAAGCCACGGCUAACUACGUGCCAGCAGCCGCGGUAAUACGUAGGUGGCAAGCGUUGUCCGGAUUUAUUGGGCGUAAAGCGAGCGCAGGCGGUCAAUUAAGUCUGAUGUGAAAGCCCCCGGCUCAACCGGGGAGGGUCAUUGGAAACUGGUUGACUUGAGUGCAGAAGAGGAGAGUGGAAUUCCAUGUGUAGCGGUGAAAUGCGUAGAUAUAUGGAGGAACACCAGUGGCGAAGGCGACUCUCGGGUCUGUAACUGACGCUGAGGCUCGAAAGCGUGGGUAGCAAACAGG
rnacentral:rRNA from 1 species